CAAUAGCGUAUAUUAAAGUUGUUGCGGUUAAAAGCUCGUAGUUGGAUUUCUGUCGAGGGCGGGCGGUCCGCACUAUGUGCGUGUAUCUUGUUCGGUCUUGGCAUCCUCUUGGGGAAUGCUUCUGUGCUUGAUUGCAUGGGGUGGAAUUCAAGACUUUUACUUUGAGGAAAUUAGAGUGUUCACGGCAGGCUAUCGCCAGAAUACAUUAGCAUGGAAUAAUACUAUAGGAUCUCGGUUCUAUUUUGUUGGUUUCUAGAAUUGAGAUAAUGAUUAAUAGGGACAAUUGGGGGCAUUCGUAUCAACACGUUAGAGGUGAAAUUCUUGGAUCGUGUUGCGACGAACUACUGCGAAAGCAUUUGCCAAGGAUGUUUUCAUUGAUCAAGAACGAAAGUAAGGGGAUCGAAGAUGAUCAGAUACC
rnacentral:rRNA from 1 species